AGCAGCCGCGGUAAUUCCAGCUCCAAUAGCGUAUAUUAAAGUUGUUGCAGUUAAAAAGCUCGUAGUUGAAUUUCGGGGUUAGUAGGUUGGUCGUGCCACUGGUACGUACUGGUCUCACUGAUUCCUCCUUCCUGAUGAACUGUAAUGCCAUUAAUUUGGUGUUGCAGGGAAACUGGACUGUUACUUUGAAAAAAUUUAGAGUGUUUAAAGCAAGCUAACGCUUGAAUACAUUAGCAUGGAAUAAUGAAAUAGGACGUUCGAUCCUAUUUUGUUGGUUUCUAGGAUUGACGUAAUGAUUAAUAGGGAUAGUUGGGGGGCAUUAGUAUUCAAUUGUCAGAGGUGAAAUUCUUGGAUUUAUUGAAGACUAACUACUGCGAAAGCAUUUGCCAAGGAUGUUUUCAUUAAUCAAGAACGAAAGUUAGGGGAUCGAAGACGAUCAGAUACCGUCGUAGUCUUAACCAUAAACUAUGCCGACUAGGGAUCGGACGAUGUUAAUUUUUUCAAUGACUCAUUCGGCGCC
rnacentral:rRNA from 1 species